AAGACCUUGCGCUUUUGGAGCGGCCGAUGUCUGAUUAGCUUGUUGGUGAGGUAAAAGCUUACCAAGGCUUCGAUCAGUAGCUGGUCUGAGAGGACGACCAGCCACACUGGGACUGAGACACGGCCCAGACUCCUACGGGAGGCAGCAGUGGGGAAUUUUGGACAAUGGGGGCAACCCUGAUCCAGCCAUGCCGCGUGAGUGAAGAAGGCCUUCGGAUUGUAAAGCUCUUUCAGCCGGAACGAAACGGUUACGGUUAAUACCCGUGACUACUGACGGUACCGGAAGAAGAAGCACCGGCUAACUACGUGCCAGCAGCCGCGGUAAUACGUAGGGUGCGAGCGUUAAUCGGAAUUACUGGGCGUAAAGCGUGCGCAGGUGGUUUUGUAAGUCAGAUGUGAAAUCCCCGGGCUCAACCUGGGAACU
rnacentral:rRNA from 1 species